GGAGCAUCAGGUUUCGUCUUUGGGAGAGCACUUUGGUUUGAAGCUGACACUGUGGGGAACAUGGGGAAUCGAGUGAGGAGCUGACGCUGGGCCUAGGAGGGCCCUUUCUCCAGCAAGAUGUUCCCUCAGCAGGGCCACCAGAUGCAGCUGCUUUGGAGAGAAAGGGAAAGGAGACAGAGAACAAGCCUCUGGGCCCAGACGUGACGGGUUGUAGGCCUCCCUGCUCUACCUCAUGAACUGCAUCUUCCUUCUUCUUGAUCUCUCUUCUGCUUUCGGGGACACAGCCAGGACACACCGAGUCCUAAAGUCAACAUUUCUUCAUUCGGUUCAUGUUUAGAGAGGGAGUAGCCAACACGCACCAUCCACCGUUCAAGGGGCUGGAGCCCAGGAGGUGAAUGAAUCCCAUGAGGGAAUGAAUCCUGCUCUCGUGGGACUUAGAGCACAUUCUGGGAACUGAGAAGCAAAACAAUUGUAAUAAUUCUGCACACUGGGAAGCGCUGUAGACAAAGUAAAUGAGGGUGAUAGGACAGGUUUGGAGGAGGCAGUGUCUGAGCUGGUGGUCUGGAAAGGCCCCUCUGAGAAGACUACGGCUGAGUCAACAUCUGGAGACAAGAGACUCCAGUAUGUGAAGACCGGAGGCAAGGCCCUGCUGGGCAGAGGGGACCAGUGUGGUGGCUCUGAGGGAAUUUAGAUAAUUUCAUAAGAUCACACAAAACUGCUACAAAUGCUAUUGCUGCCAAGGGGGCUUCCUCCUGUGGUAGACAUGGCUUGAAAGCUCAUAGUGGAACAAGGAAUCAUUCAAUAUCCCCUCAGGACCUCUGUGUCGGGAAAGAAGAGGUCCUCCCAAAGCCUUCCAGCUUGGUGCUGCACAAUUCCAAGAGGCCUAAUGCGUGGCAUUUCCUAGUGAUAUCUGUCACUGGACAAGGACAAAGCUCAAGCCAAGGAAUGAACCUGAAAUGGUGGGAUUUUCAUCAUCAAUGAAGCAGAAAAGAGAUGUCUGAGGAGAAUGGAAGGAACCGUCCCCGGGGCCCUGCAAUGAAGUAGGCAGCUACUGCUCCCAAUGGUCUAGACAUCUCUUCUUGCUCCCAGUGUAACCUUACAGGCCAUUAAAGUUGAUCUGAGGUCACUUAAAAAAAAGCCAAUUGACAUUGUGUUGAGAGACAGCAUGUGUCAGCCAUUUGCUCCGAGUUGCCCUCUCCGCAGACCUACAGCUUUUCCCCUCGACUGAGGUUAACUUUCCCAUAUAGAGAUUUUAUAUAAGGCAGUCAUUCGUGCUCAUUAUGCUUGUAGGAUUUUUCUACUUCUCAAGUAAAUAUUUUUGGUGAAAUAGGUCCAGCUCUUUGGAAUACAAAUCCUUAGCUCGAGGUUGCUUGAGUGGAAAUUUUUAACAA